CUACAGUUGGUUGAAUCCAUGGAUGUGGAACCCAUGGAUGUGAAGGACUGACUGUACUUUGCACUAGUGGUUCUCAAAGUGUGGGCCCUGGACCAGUGGCAGCAGCAUCACCUGGGAACUUGUGAGAAAUGCACUUUUCAGCUCCUGUUUCAGAUGGACCUAUCAGAAUCUCUGCAGGGAGGCUGUGAGGAUCUAGAGGAUACAGCUACGGAGAACAUGCUGGGUUCCUUGAGCUGCUAAGCACUGAAGUCCCACCAAUGGUGACGAAGGUCUAAGGAGAACAUUGCAAUUGCACAAAAUGAUCCUUGGAAAUUCUUUAGAAGGGCACCAUCUUGGAGACCCAGAAUCAAUAAAACCAGCAUGGCUGGGAGUUUUCUCCAGCAUUUGAAUAAAUUGUUGUUUCUUUGGUUGAACCAUGAUGAGAUAAUUGGCUUAAACCAGGAGUCAUGCAUGGUAUCUGGAAACUUCCUCACUUGAAUCACCAGCAUCAUACUCAGCAUGCAUAAUCCUCUCAUCAUGAGAGGCACAGGGGAAAUGAGCCAGCCUGUCUGGAAAGGAAGCAAAUGCAUGCUUUCCAUCUCCCACUCAGUACUGGACAUGAAGCUAUGUCAUCACCACUUAAUGCCAGCACCACUUAAAUGAUGUUUCUCUCUCUCUGCCCUGUACUUGCUGGAGGCACAUGCCCAUAUCACGUAGGGUGUCAGGGCAGAGAGCUCUUAGGAAGAGCUGAGCUGUGGGGACUUCCUCCCACGCAGAAGAGGGAGGCCUCUGCAGAAUUCUCUGCCAUGUGCUUCUAGGCUUCCUCAACUCAGAAAUUUUAUUAUAGAGUUUUAGAAUGUGAAGAGCUCUUGGAAAUCAUGAAAGAUGAAGAAUCAAGAUGGAAGUUUGAUGGCUUGUCCCAGGCCCCAGAGUGGACCCUUUGCUUUUUGGAAUCCAACAGCAAGGACUCAUGGGAAUAUCGUGGGAUUUGACUUGGAGAGACAGGGCUCAAACCUCAUCUUUGUCACUUAGUGAUUGUGUAAUUCUCUAAAAGUCUAUUUGUAGAAAAGGGAUAAGGGAGCUUUCUUUCCUGGAUUUCAAGAUGAUUAAAAGAGAUGUAUGUAUAAAGGGAUGCUCAGUUGUCUGAGCUGAGAUGACUGCAAAGUCACUGCACUCCUCUUACAAUGCCUGACAGGUG
rnacentral:lncRNA from 10 species